UACGGAGGGUGCAAUCGUUAUCCGGAAUCACUGGGUUUAAAGGGUGCGUAGGCGGCUGUAUCAGUCAGAGGUGAAAGCCCGGAGCUUAACUUCGGAACUGCCUUUGAUACUGUAUAGCUUGAAAUAGGUUGAGGUCAGCGGAAUGUUGCAUGUAGCGGUGAAAUGCAUAGAUAUGCCAUAGAACACCAAUUGCGAAGGCAGCUGGCUGGACCUUAUUUGACGCUGAGGCACGAAAGCGUGGGGAGCGAACAGG
rnacentral:rRNA from 1 species